rnacentral:rRNA from 1 species
AAGAGAGUGGCGCACGGGUGCGUAACGCGUAUGCAACCUACCUUAAUCAGGGGGAUAGCCCGAAGAAAUUCGGAUUAACACCGCAUAAAAUCACAGUACAGCAUUGUAUAAUGAUCAAAUAUUUAUAGGAUUAAGAUGGGCAUGCGUGUCAUUAGUUAGUUGGCGGGGUAACGGCCCACCAAGACCACGAUGACUAGGGGAUCUGAGAGGAUGACCCCCCACACUGGUACUGAGACACGGACCAGACUCCUACGGGAGGCAGCAGUAAGGAAUAUUGGUCAAUGGAGGCAACUCUGAACCAGCCAUGCCGCGUGCAGGAAGACAGCCCUCUGGGUCGUAAACUGCUUUUAUUCGGGAAUAAACCUACUUACGUGUAAGUAGCUGAAUGUACCGAAGGAAUAAGGAUCGGCUAACUCCGUGCCAGCAGCCGCGGUAAUACGGAGGAUCCAAGCGUUAUCCGGAUUUAUUGGGUUUAAAGGGUGCGUAGGCGGCUUAUUAAGUCAGGGGUGAAAGACGGUGGCUCAACCAUCGCAGUGCCCUUGAUACUGAUGAGCUUGAAUACACUAGAGGUAGGCGGAAUGUGACAAGUAGCGGUGAAAUGCAUAGAUAUGUCACAGAACACCGAUUGCGAAGGCAGCUUACUAUGGUGUUAUUGACGCUGAGGCACGAAAGCGUGGGGAUCAAACAGGAUUAGAUACCCUGGUAGUCCACGCCCUAAACGAUGAAUACUCGCUGUUAGCGAUACACAGUUAGCGGCUAAGCGAAAGCGUUAAGUAUUCCACCUGGGGAGUACGCCCGCAAGGGUGAAACUCAAAGGAAUUGACGGGGGCCCGCACAAGCGGAGGAGCAUGUGGUUUAAUUCGAUGAUACGCGAGGAACCUUACCCGGGCUUGAAAGUUAGUGAAUGAUCUAGAGAUAGAUCAGUGAGCAAUCACACGAAACUAGGUGCUGCAUGGCUGUCGUCAGCUCGUGCCGUGAGGUGUUGGGUUAAGUCCCGCAACGAGCGCAACCCCUAUGUUUAGUUGCCAGCACGUUAAGGUGGGGACUCUAAACAGACUGCCUGUGCAAACAGAGAGGAAGGAGGGGACGACGUCAAGUCAUCAUGGCCCUUACGUCCGGGGCUACACACGUGCUACAAUGGAUGGUACAGAGGGCAGCAAGCUGGCAACAGCAAGCAAAUCUCAAAAAGCCAUUCACAGUUCGGAUAGAGGUCUGCAACUCGACCUCUUGAAGUUGGAUUCGCUAGUAAUCGCGUAUCAGCAAUGACGCGGUGAAUACGUUCCCGGGCCUUGUACACACCGCCCGUCAAGCCAUGGAAGUUGGGGGUACCUAAAGUAUGUAACCGCAAGGAGCGUCCUAGGGUAAAACCGAUAACUGGGGCUAAGUCGUAACAAGGUA